CUUAUAUUAUACGAUUUUAUUAAUCUAUGUAAAAUGCAACCAUAAAGGAUGGAGGGUUUUAAGUACUGGCGUAAAAUUGCGCGUAUGAAAUUCGCACAGGUAGAAAUGAAAUAAUUUUGUCGUUCAAAGUAUGACGGGAUACAUCAAUACAGUCACGUAAAAUAGAUAUAACAAUACAGACUUAACAAUAAAAGUAAUAAUAAUAAAUAAAUAAGUGUGGUUAAAAGUAUGACGGGAUACAUAAGUACAGAGUCACGUCAAAUGUAUAUCACAAAAAAACAGACGUAACAGUAACCCGAAUAAUUCAGUCCCUCCCCGUAAUCGAUCUCUCCUACUUGUAAUGUAGUAAGCGGAAUGUAACGACUGAAUUAUUCGGGUUAACAUAACAGUAAAGGUGGCACGGUAGUAUUUCCUGUCCCAUAAGG
rnacentral:lncRNA from 1 species